rnacentral:rRNA from 1 species
AUUGAACGCUGGCGGCAGGCUUAACACAUGCAAGUCGAGCGGAGAUGAGGUGCUUGCACCUUAUCUUAGCGGCGGACGGGUGAGUAAUGCUUAGGAAUCUGCCUAUUAGUGGGGGACAACAUUCCGAAAGGAAUGCUAAUACCGCACACGUCCUACGGGAGAAAGCAGGGGAUCUUCGGACCUUGCGCUAAUAGAUGAGCCUAAGUCGGAUUAGCUAGUUGGUGGGGUAAAGGCCUACCAAGGCGACGAUCUGUAGCGGGUCUGAGAGGAUGAUCCGCCACACUGGGACUGAGACACGGCCCGGACUCCUACGGGAGGCAGCAGUGGGGAAUAUUGGACAAUGGGGGGAACCCUGAUCCAGCCAUGCCGCGUGUGUGAAGAAGGCCUUAUGGUUGUAAAGCACUCUAAGCGAGGAGGAGGCUACUGAGACUAAUACUCUUGGAUAGUGGACGUUACUCGCAGAAUAAGCACCGGCUAACUCUGUGCCAGCCGCCGCCGUAA